GCUGUUCUCUCUGGUUAUAAAUCCCUCCCUGUCUCCUCCUCUUAUCUCACUCAAAACCCAGCUGAGAUUUCAGCAUUUCCAUGCAGACUCCUCCCUUAUACCUGUUCUUCUUUCCGCACUUGGGACUCUGCCAGCACUUGGCAUUUAAUCAGCCACAGUGGAUUUAAGUGUUUCACUUGUGAGUGGCUUAUCUCCCACAUUACACUAGAUAUUCCUUGAGGGCACUGACCAGCCUCCUGCAUCCGUCCGUCAGCUUGGCCCAGCCACAGCUCUGUCUCUUCUUGGUGAGUGGCUCUGGGCACUUGCCCCUUCCCAUCACUGUGCCUAAUCCCUCUCCUGUACACGGUGGGGACCACUGGAGGAGCUCUGGAGACUCCCUCUUGUGAACAUUAGGACUCCAAAAUGGUCCCCAGCUUGCUUCAGAGAGCUCACAGCCAAGAUGACAAGUGAGACCAUCAACCAUCAGUCCACUACCACCCUCAUAUCAUUGUUUUAUAUGUAUGAGAACCACCAUCAUCAUGGCAGUUACCUCCAAUUCAGCACCUUUUACAGAUCAUCACCAGGCAGUUAGACAGGCACAAGCCGCGCAGGAGAGGGCUCUCCCACCAUCCACUAGGAAUGUUGGGUGAUGGUUUGGUAAUGAUCACAUUCCCUCUCUAAAAUUUAUAAACUCGCAGCCAACACCAGAGACAGAGAUCAUUUCCUGAUGAUCCACACCUUUUGCACCAAAGUGUUAAUUGAAUGCAGGUGCCGGGGGAGACUGAGGCAGAAGAAUCGCUUGAACCCAGAAGGUGGAGGUUGCAGUGAGCAGAGAUCGCGCCACUGCCCUCCAACCAGGGUGACAGAGCGAGACUCCGUCUCAAAAAAAAGAAAAAAAGAAAAGAAAGAAAGAAAAGAAAAGAGACAAAAUGGCAGAGUCUGACCUUCGGACCUUCGGGGCACUCUGCUGGAAAAGCGAUGAUGGGCAUGUGCACCACUUCCUAAACACAUUGCGCAUGCUCACCUCCGGAGGCUUCUCACUCAGCUGCCAUGCAUUGACUUCCCUGUUGAUCCAGCCUACUGCGGACCCAAAUAUUCCUGUUGCCAGAUAGGAGGGAUGAGUAAUGGAGACUCCAGUCCUCAGAGACCUUGAUCAAGUAAAGCAAAAACCCCUUCCUCCACUUUCUUUGCAAGUGGCUAAACCCUUAGUCACUCUGGGAAGAAAAGUAAACUGAAAACUUGAAAAAGUCCCAAGACAGAAUCUAACUCCAUCCCCUGCCCCAGAUAAAAAGCAAGAUAGCACAACUAUAGCAACCUUUUAAGUCAAAUUAAAUGAGCUAAUAAAAAUCAGGCCUGUUCAAGUGCCCAAUUGAUUUAAACAUGAAGAUUGUCAGUUUCCAGCAUCACUGAUUCUAAUCCAACAACCCUCACCAUAGAGGUCUUCAUUCAGCCUGCUGUGUUUGGAGGUUUUGCUUAUUGGGUGUGUAUCUGUAAGGUAAAUCUUGACGAUUUCCUUACUACAGACAAUUAUCUGGCUGGAGAUGUC
rnacentral:lncRNA from 1 species